rnacentral:rRNA from 1 species
GAUGAACGCUAGCGGCAGGCCUAAUACAUGCAAGUCGAGGGGUAGAGGAGAGCUUGCUUUCCUUGAGACCGGCGCACGGGUGCGUAACGCGUAUGCAACCUACCUUUAUCAGGGGGAUAGCCCGAAGAAAUUCGGAUUAACACCGCAUAAAAUCACAGUAUCGCAUGAUACAAUGAUCAAAUAUUUAUAGGAUAAAGAUGGGCAUGCGUGUCAUUAGUUAGUUGGCGGGGUAACGGCCCACCAAGACCACGAUGACUAGGGGAUCUGAGAGGAUGACCCCCCACACUGGUACUGAGACACGGACCAGACUCCUACGGGAGGCAGCAGUAAGGAAUAUUGGUCAAUGGAGGCAACUCUGAACCAGCCAUGCCGCGUGCAGGAAGACGGCCCUCUGGGUUGUAAACUGCUUUUAUUCGGGAAUAAACCUAUCUACGUGUAGAUAGCUGAAUGUACCGAAGGAAUAAGGAUCGGCUAACUCCGUG